rnacentral:rRNA from 3 species
CGAAAGUUAGAGGUUCGAAGGCGAUCAGAUACCGCCCUAGUUCUAACCAUAAACGAUGCCAACCAGCGAUCCGCCUGAGUUCCUCAAAUGACUCGGCGGGCAGCUUCCGGGAAACCAAAGUGUUUGGGUUCCGGGGGAAGUAUGGUUGCAAAGCUGAAACUUAAAGGAAUUGACGGAAGGGCACCACCAGGAGUGGAGCCUGCGGCUUAAUUUGACUCAACACGGGAAAACUUACCCGGCCCGGACACUGGAAGGAUUGACAGAUUAAGAGCUCUUUCUUGAUUCAGUGGGUGGUGGUGCAUGGCCGUUCUUAGUUGGUGGAGCGAUUUGUCUGGUUAAUUCCGAUAACGAACGAGACUCUAGCCUACUAAAUAGGCGUUCCGAUCCUUUAUGUCGGACGUUCUUCUUAGAGGGACAAGCGGCUUUUAGCCGCACGAGACAGAGCAAUAACAGGUCUGUGAUGCCCUUAGAUGUCCGGGGCCGCACGCGCGCUACACUGAAGGAAUCAGCGUGUGCUUUCCCUGUCUGGUAGGACUGGGUAACCCGUUAAACCUCCUUCGUGAUAGGGAUAGGGGCUUGUAAUUGUUCCCCUUGAACGAGGAAUUCCCAGUAAGCACGAGUCAUAAGCUCGUGUUGAUUACGUCCCUGCCCUUUGUACACACCGCCCGUCGCUACUACCGAUUGAAUGAUUUAGUGAGGUCUUCGGACUGGCGCUCGUAGCGACCUUUGGCCGCGCCGACGUGCCGGAAAGAUGACCAAACUUGAUCAUUUAGAGGAAGUAAAAGU